GCAUCUGUGGUGUGGUGGUAGUAGCACAAGUCCUUUGUAUGGGUGAAACACGGGUUCGAUUGCCGUCUGAGGCC